GGCCGCACACGUACCUGAAUGCAACACCUUGAUUUUCUCCUCUGCCUCCCCCAGUCUGGCUGCCAGGGUGAUUUGUACUUCUUGGAGGCCCCUGUGGAGAGAUGGGGUGGACGCUGCCUGGGCCCUGGUUCGGGCCUCACCUGCCCCGUGACUGCACCUGUCUUUAGGGAGCCCUGGCCGUCCUGCUGUCUGGCCGGCUGUGCGGCCCCACUGUGGCUGGCCCUGGGAGAGAAAGAAAUAUCCAUCGCCAAGAGCAACGUGACAGGCAGAGAAGUCUCUACAAACUGGAGCGGUCGAUGGAUUAAUACCCAUUUCCCAAACUCGGCACUGGAGUGAAGCACGUGUUGGUGCCCGCUAGCCGGGGGCCGACACGCACAGACGCUGGUGACCACUAACCUGCUUUCUGUCUGUGGAUUUGCCUGUUCUGGACAGGGUCCUGUUGGAUGACCUUACAAGUUGCCUGGCUGUUACAGCAGAGCACUGUGAUCCACGCGGUCCCGUCCGGCAGGCCCGUCUGCGACAUGCAGCGUGCUGUCAUAUCAUUCUCGCACUCUGAUGGUGGCCUGGGGUGCAGCCGAGCGAGCCGGCCUCUGCCCACUGGACAUCUGGCUGCUCCAGCCUGCGCUACGGCGAAGCCUGCGGCCAGCGCCCCUCUCGCCCCGUCCUCUGGGCGUAGCGCGUCUCCUGGACACAAACCAAGGAGUAAAUGCGCUAGAUCCUAGGCGGGCCCACCUGCAGCCUCACUGGAGAGGAUUUCCAGAGUAGAAACGGGUGGCAGCUGCCUAGAGUCCUGUCACCUUGUAGGAGGAAUGUCUGUGUGUGCCUUCUAGUCACUUCCUGUUGGUGGGACCAGGGACUCCCCUAAUGGGCGGGGGAGGGGAGAGCCGGGCAUGCCUGGCUCGGCCCUGGGGGUCUGUCUCCUGGGCAGCAUCGCCCAGCCAGGCCCGCCCUUCCUGUGUGUUUUAACAGCCGUGGGUGGGAUCCAGGCCUGCCUGUCUGAGGGAGCCCCGCGAUCCCACUCCCACCCCGCCUGCCUUCGUGGCUGGCCAUCGUGAGAGCCUCACACAGUCCCCUGUCCAGUCCCGUUCUGUGAGGAUUAAGCUCUGGCCUCCACCACUAGCCACCUCUUAAUGAGCCCUGAGCUCCAAGGCUCAAAAGCACCAUCUCACAUUCCCACUUCGAACCAAACUAGGACUCCAGGCUUCUCCGUGCCCACAACCGUAGGCUCUGGGUCCCGAUCCUUAGAGGCAGAAAGGCAAGCGGGAUAUUGCCUAGAGACUGUCAUCGGCUGGGAAAGUCUUAAGGCUCGGACUCAUCCCCCCUCGCCUCUCGUCCCCUCCAUGCUGCCCCUUCCUCCUGAACACAGAGCUGAACUACACUUCCCAGCCUCCUU